AACAAAUUUACCAAUUACUCCAAGGCUCCAUUAAUUUUAUACGUUAAGACUCCUAGACUUACUAUGCAUCAGCUACACGUUACAAUACAAACCUCCCUGCCUUCUUCAAGUUUCACAGGAUAAAACCUCACUUUUCCCCAUCAGUUUUUCAUAUGAUAUCCAUAAAUAAACAUCCUUAUUCCUCCUCUAAAACUCAAAUCUCAAGAAUCUGAUGAAAUUCAUUCAAGAAAACAAGUCUAAUCCCUUCUCCAGAUCUCAAGUUCUUCAAAUGUUUUGAGGUUCUGGCUCUCAAGUUCGCGGUCAGGCACCUCAUUAGGAUUCCUAACUUCUGUUAUUGGUGAGCCUCUUUCCUACCAGGAGGCUUGAUGAGAUAUGAUGAUUUUUUUGUAUUUCCUUUCCUUUCAGUAUUAGUACUUAUUAGAGGCUUCACAGGCUAGUGUAGUUGUCAAGCAAACUUUGUAAUUUUCAGUCUUCAUUUAUAAAAACUAUUGGUAUUGUUGAACAUUAUGCGGUAUUAAUAAACUUUGGUGAAGUUUUAUCUCCUUAGAAAAUCGUAAUUGAAUUCUAUAUUACUUCCGCUUUAUACAUUUGUAUUAGAAGUAUGCUCGGGUGAUAUGCCAGAACGUUCGCUCGAACUAGCUAUAGUAUCAUGUGCGUGCCACGUCCAGGGCCUCAGCUCGGGUCGUGACAACCAGUUACUGUCCACAAUCUUGCUUCUUCUUACUUUAUAGGUAGCUGAAAAGAUACUCGACAGGAAAGAGCUGGAAUUCUACAAAUGGGACGGCGACCUUUCUCAGCUGCUGCAGAAUGUUAGAGAUAAGCUGAACAAAGUUGCAGAAAACUGGACUAGAGAGGAGAAGAACCAUUGUCUGGAAGAGACAGAGAAGUCAUUCAAGUUCUCCGGGGCCAUCCUCCGAUUGAUAUUCUCUUGAUGCACAACUUUACGCUCUGUUUCCUUGUUAACUUGUACAUCAUGGAUGGUCAAAACCUGUAAAUUUCUGUGAAUAGCUGUGUUUCUUUUCGCGUUUAAUUCUGUCUAUGGUGUACAAGAACUUGAUUAUAAUUCAAGUGUUACAUGAUUACUCAAUUCUCAAUGUUGCUAAUUCUUAACUAUGGGCUAUCCAGCCUCAUAGAA